GACGAACGCUGGCGGCGUGCUUAACACAUGCAAGUCGAACGGAAAGGCCCUGCUUUUGUGGGGUGCUCGAGUGGCGAACGGGUGAGUAACAAGUGAGUAACCUGCCCUUGACUUUGGGAUAACGUCAGGAAACUGGGGCUAAUACCGGAUAGGAGCUCCUGCUGCAUGGUGGGGGUUGGAAAGUUUCGGCGGUUGGGGAUGGACUCGCGGCUUAUCAGCUUGUUGGUGGGGUAGUGGCUUACCAAGGCUUUGACGGGUAGCCGGCCUGAGAGGGUGACCGGCCACAUUGGGACUGAGAUACGGCCCAGACUCCUACGGGAGGCAGCAGUGGGGAAUAUUGCACAAUGGGCGGAAGCCUGAUGCAGCAACGCCGCGUGCGGGAUGACGGCCUUCGGGUUGUAAACCGCUUUCGCCUGUGACGAAGCGUGAGUGACGGUAAUGGGUAAAGAAGCACCGGCUAACUACGUG
rnacentral:rRNA from 1 species